rnacentral:misc_RNA from 1 species
AACGCACAUUGCGCCCUUUGGUAUUCCUUAGGGCAUGCCUGUUCGAGCGUCAUUUACAAAUUCAAGCUCAGCUUGGUGAUGGGUGUCUGUCCCGCCUUUGCGUGUGGACUCGCCUCAAAUGCAGUUGGCAGCUUGUUCCUCGGCUCUAAACGCAGCAGAUUUGCGUCGAGCGCCGUGCGGACGGGCUCUCCAGUAAGCAAAACCCCACAAAUUGACCUCGGAUCAGGUAGGGAUACCCGCUGAACUUAA